UCGAGCCUUCAAGGUUCCUCUGUGCACGAAACUGUAUUGCAAGAUCUCUCUCUCUCUCUUUCUCUUUCUCGUUCUCUUUCUCUUUCUCUUUCUCUUUCUCUUUCUCUUUCUCUUUCUCUCACUCUCGUUCCCUUUCUUUCUUGAUCUCUUCUCCCUCUUCCUCUGUGCCUUCAUCUCUGAAAAAUCUAAACUUUUUCACUCUCUGUGGGCCUUCUUCUCCUUCAACAACACUGUUCUUAACAUCUGGACUAUUGGAAAAUUUGGAAUCACUCCUCGUUUUGGGGGAAGCGGGGUAUUGAGAAAUAGCCUUUUCAACUUCCUGAUUUCAUUGCUACCACUGGGAUUGAUAAACUAAGUGGCAUUGAUAAACUAAGACAGGACAGCAGUACUUUGGAUUUACCACUGAUGCAUGCACAGCUAUGAGAAUCUUUUGUGAUGGGCCUGAUGGCACAUAUGACCCAUGAUCAAGCAACUCAGCCACAGGAUAGAUAAAAAAUUAUGCUAACAAGGUUCUGUUAGCAAGCACAGAUCCAUAUCGCACUUCAGAUUCCUGUGGUGGUGGGGGCCUUGGCAAUCUGAGUCGCAUGUGAAGGAAGUGCAGGUGCUUAGGUUGCAAAGAGUAUUGUGGAUCUGAUAUUCUGAGAUGAUUAAGAUAAUUGGCCAUGGAAUAAAACCUCUGCUUAAUAUGUUUAAUGUUUAUUUGGUGUAAUAUGUUUCACAUAACUUCAACCAUGAUGUUCACUCAUUGACAACAUGGGGGAACAAUAA